CCCUUUUCUGCACAGAAGUCAAAAGCUGACCAGCCACCACCGACUUUCUGUCCCAUGGCAUCGAUGAAAUGGAGGACAAACCACAUGAGCUCCUCUGUGUUCAAACAAAUGUGGACACGGCUGUGGAUCCCCUCACAAUGAGUGAGUAUUCCGGAAGAAAUGUGCUUAGGCAAAGAUCAGAAGUCUCGUAAGAGGGGUAUGCGUCAUCUGCGGCUGUGUGGCCUCCAGAAAGGAGGAAGAGGAGAAGAAUCCCACCAUUUCCCGUCCUUUAAACAUUUUUUUCCCUAUUAAUUAUAUUUUUGCUGUUGAUUUUUUAUAAAUCAUGAAUCAAUAAUUUAUUCUAUUAAUAGUUUUUUUAAAUGAUUUUUUAAAAUAAAUUAUUGCAUUCCAAAGUUUGUCUUUGAGUUGUCAUUUUCCUAAAAAUAUAAGGUGACUAGAGCUCAGAUAUGAGCAAUGUGCACUCCAUGACAUCUGCUCAUUGGACAUGAAAACAGAAUGUGAACUUGAUCGCCCAUGGCAACACAUCCUAUCAACAGAUGGCGCCAUUGACCUAAACUCUGUGGUAGCUUUUAUUUACCCCUGAACUGUGCUACUGGAGCAUUUAGUUAUUCGUUCACAAGUGAAUGCAUUUCCAUUGAAAUAAAUAUUAUGACCAAAACAUGCAAAAACAUUUUUUUCCCCAUGGUAAUGUAAAAUCGC